rnacentral:lncRNA from 1 species
GCAAGACAGAGAAUGCAGAAAACCAUACCUCUUCAGGGCUUAGAGGGGGAAAGGUGGCAUAUAUCAAAGGACCAGCAUAAAGGGAUUAAAAUGAGACAUGGAACUUAUCCGCUAAAAGUAUUAUUUCGGGGGAGACAAGUCUUAGACAUCUCCAACACUGAUGAACAAUCAAUGAUCGUUUGCAGAAGAAAGGAUAUCAUCGUGGGGAGAAAGUCUCCAACUUAUCAAGGCUGGAGCAGAGCUUAGAAAAAUGAGAAACCUAUGUGAGCAGGAAUAAAACAAAAAACUUGAGGGCAAACCAAAUGGACGCUGAAAGAAAAAAUUCUGGAGAUAAGGCCUCUACUCUAAGGUGUCCUAGGGGUCAUAGUGGGGAGUUUACACUUAUCUGGAAAUCUAGAUGUCCUGGAGGUUUUUCAUGAGCAACUAAACACAAUAGAUCUGUAUCAUGGAAGGACAAAUCUUACCACAGAGUUGGGGGUAAAUUAAAGAGCCCCGAGUGGAGGUAGUUGGGCCAGAUGGAAAAGUAAUGUGGCAUCCUAAUUCAUAUCUGAAACGGCAGUGAUUUCUCUCUGGUGGGAGUGAGUAGAAAGCAGGGAGGGAUGUCGAGAUGGCAGCAGAAAUGAGUAGCAUUUGCUAUCAUUCCCCUUCAGCUCACCCUGUGAGACUCUCAUGUCAUCCUCAUCCUUCCUUCUACUGAUAGCAGAGUACGGGUAUAUAAAUAAGUCGAUGUUCUCCUUUGAUUCUUAAUUUGUUUCACUAUUAAUUCCCUCGUGCCCAUGUGUAUGCUUAAAUGUGUGUGUGUGUGUGUGUGUGCCUGUGGUGUGUGAAAGAAAGAGAGAGAGAGAGAGAUGGGGUGGGGGUGGGGAUGCCUGCUCCAAACACAGGGGCGUUUUCUUGGACUGAUGUAACAUCCUGUUGGCUAAACGGAGAUGCCUGUCAUCCUUCAUUAAUAAAAAUUAACUGUAAAUCUCCUUGCUUCCCACAGGAGGGCCUUUUAGACAUUCCAUCAGGGGCUUGCAGAGGACGUCUGGCGGCACAGCACCUGACCAACUUCAGGAGAACAAAGCCUCCAUCUGGACCUAAGGGAAAGAGAGCUGGUCGCCUGUGGAGCAGCAGAGAACAAGGCUCUGCAUCCCUUUGAAGCGCUGGCAUUCUUCUUAAUCACCUGGCAAAGUCUUAAUUUAAAGAGGGACCCUUAGAGAAGGGGGGAUCUCAAGGAUAUUUGACUUUCAUAUCAAAUCUGCUUACCUUUCAUCAGGUUUAUUAAAAUUGGUGAUGUGUUAAUUGUGAACCCCAUUUGUAUCUGAAUAUGAAAUACUGCCUUUAGGGUCUCCCUCGUUGCUCUCUUUGGUCCUGGGAUGAGCUUACAGUGCCGCCUUCGCAUUGGAGUAAUUAUUUCUGAGGAUAAAUACUGUGAUGUCAGGCACACUGGAUUUCAGUUGUUGCAGGGUAAACACAAGGGGACUUUAGGUUUUUAGAAUGCCUAAUUGGACAACAAUAAUUGUAUUGUGGGAUGGCUGAAAAAUGCAAGCCUGGGAAGUACUGCAUUUUUCACCAUUAGAUACUAUAUUCAUUGAUGCAUUUCAUAUCUUUACUCCUAUGAAUUAAGUAUCCUAAAGGAAUUCUCUUACCUUUUUAGAAAGAUAACCUGAAAGAUUCACUGUGGAGAAAUAUGUAAAAUCCAUAAAGCUAGAGUCUUGGGAGGCAUAGUUGGCUCCAUACUGUGUGUGUGGACUACGGCAGUGAGUCUGGUACAUGCACCACACCCAACUUCCACCAUGGAGUGCUAUUUAAAAAAAUAAAGGGGACUGGCCAGGUGGUGCA